AACCUAGAAAGUAGAAGGUAGAAACUUUGCAACUAACAAGAAAAUGAGUUUUUCUUAUCGAAAAUGAGGCAACAACCCUCAUUCAUUUCGGCUCAAAACACCGAUUCAAAGUUUAUUUACUUAGUUUUUAUUGUUGUUGCAUUUGGUGGACUUUCUUCCUCAGUUACCCGCUGGUUAAGCAAAGUUCCUUCUUGGCUUACUACUUUUGCACCAGCAGAUGCUCUCACCAUGAAAGAGGAAGCCUGGAAUGCAUUCCCAGAAUGCAAAUCAGGUUACCAGUCUAAAAUUUGUUGCUCGGGUGAUUUUUUGUUAACUGCCUCAGCAGACAAGCAAAGUUCCUUCUUGGCUUACUACUUUUGCACUAGCAGAUGCUCUCACCAUGAAAGAGGAAGCCUUGGAAUGCAUUCCCAGAAUGCAAAACAGGUUGCCAGUCUAAAAUUUGUAGCUCGAGGUGAUUUUUUGUUAACUGCCUCGGCAGACAAGCAAAGUUCCUUCUUGGCUUACUACUUUUGCCCCAACAGAUGCUCUCACCAUGAAAGAGGAAGCCUGGAAUGCAUUCUCAGAAUGCAAAUCAGGUUUGCCCAGCCACUAACAAUUGACGGCUAAAGAAAAGUUCAAGAGAAAUUUCAUUUUUUCCCUUCUUCAAUUAGAUCAUAUCUUUGUCUAUUUUUUUGUUGCAGUUGAAGUUGUCCUGUCAUGAAAAUCUGUUGGCUGAUUAGACAUUGCAUUUGAUAGGUUACCAGUCUAAAAUUUGUUGCUCGGGUGAUUUUUUGUUAACUGCCUCAGCAGACAAGAGAACCUGAAUUGCAAAUAUUAAUCUGGGUGCAACCCAGAGGAAAUCAUUAGGUACUGGUUUAAGCUCUGAUAGCAUUUGAAGCUGCAAGUGAAGAUUUAAGCAUUAUUACCAGAUAGCUAUAUUGGCAGAGUAUUCUGGUGCUGUUCUUGGAGUAUUGUCUGCAGUGUUAUAUGGAUGGAGAGGCCGUGUCUGGAAGAAGGUAGCUCUCUCUAAUAUGCUUCGUUGUCAUUGAUUUUAGGGUGGAUGAUGUUUGAAUAAUGCUCAUCAUAUCAGUUAAAGAUCAUAAUCUUAGAACAUGUAAGCUUUGGUUUUAUUUCUGACAUGUUUUUCUUUUUUC